UCCUACGGGAGGCAGCAGUAGGGAAUCUUCCACAAUGGACGCAAGUCUGAUGGAGCAACGCCGCGUGAGUGAAGAAGGGUUUCGGCUCGUAAAGCUCUGUUGGUAGUGAAGAAAGAUAGAGGUAGUAACUGGCCUUUAUUUGACGGUAAUUACUUAGAAAGUCACGGCUAACUACGUGCCAGCAGCCGCGGUAAUACGUAGGUGGCAAGCGUUGUCCGGAUUUAUUGGGCGUAAAGCGAGUGCAGGCGGUUCAAUAAGUCUGAUGUGAAAGCCUUCGGCUCAACCGGAGAAUUGCAUCAGAAACUGUUGAACUUGAGUGCAGAAGAGGAGAGUGGAACUCCAUGUGUAGCGGUGGAAUGCGUAGAUAUAUGGAAGAACACCAGUGGCGAAGGCGGCUCUCUGGUCUGCAACUGACGCUGAGGCUCGAAAGCAUGGGUAGCGAACAGGAUUAGAUACCCUGGUAGUCCAUGCCGUAAACGAUGAGUGCUAAGUGUUGGGAGGUUUCCGCCUCUCAGUGCUGCAGCUAACGCAUUAAGCACUCCGCCUGGGGAGUACGACCGCAAGGUUGAAACUCAAAGGAAUUGACGGGGGCCCGCACAAG
rnacentral:rRNA from 1 species